UGCUCUCUCUUCUCCAUUCACCGCCUUCAACUUUGGAGUUCAGAAAGAAGUGAAGAAGGGAUGACAGGCAGGAGGAAUUGGGACUUGAGCUUGCAAAAUACAUCUGUAUCAGAGGUUGCAACUGGCAUGCAUGGCACUGGUGCUACAAUUGGUGCAUGGUGUGGGCCUGUCCACUGGUACCCAUGGCCAGUCACAGCUUCACCACUCAGCUGAGGUAGUUCCAGCUCCAUCUCUUCUGGGAAUGAUGGAAUAGAGAAAAGUGGAAGAAGGGAAUCAAGGAGAAGAUAAAUGAGAAGUUGUCAGGCGGGCACAAGUAGGAAGGAGCAUACUCAAACUACUAAUCCAUGUACUAGAGGAUCAUAUGGUAUUAUUAUAGGAUAUGGAACAGCUAUAGCCAGAAAAGCGGCUUUAUGAGAAGAAAGAAAUAAAAUUGAAACGAUAAAGGAGAAGUUUUCCGGUGGUCAACACUAGGCAUUUCUGGCUUUCGUGUCAUGCCUAUGACAUUGUUAAGUAUGUGUUAAAUAACAAUAACAAUGUAUUAUAAUGUGGAUCAAAUCUUUUAUUGUGUGUGACACGUUUGCAAAUAGUGUAUAUCUUUUGCGAUAAGCAGUUUUGGAUGGUAGUCCCA